rnacentral:rRNA from 1 species
UACGGGGGGAGCAAGCGUUGUUCGGAUUUACUGGGCGUAAAGGGCGCGUAGGCGGUCAGCACAAGUCAGUUGUGAAAUCUCCGGGCUUAACUCGGAAAGGUCAACUGAUACUGUGCGACUAGAGUGCAGAAGGGGCAACUGGAAUUCCUGGUGUAGCGGUGAAAUGCGCAGAUAUCAGGAAGAACACCCGUGGCGAAGGCGGCUUUCUGGGACGGUACUGACGCUGAGACGCGAAAGCGUGGGGAGCGAACAGG